GGUUUUUAACGUGCAAAGAACGUGACACUCCCUUUACACGAGGCAUCGGAUUUAACGUCCCCAUUCUGACCGGACGUGACUGCGAACUUGAUACAUCCCGCACAGCCAAACGGACGCCAAACUUCGUUUUACUGCCGGUCGGGGGAAGACCAAGUGACCAUAUUUCGUUUCCCCAGUCACCCUUGGGGAACUUUAAAUUAGAAACAACAGAAAUCCAUAUAUGUGAUCAAACUGAUCGACAUGUAUCCUCACAACCUGACACUUUUAUACGAUCUCGCGCUCAGUUUCUUCCUUGUAGUUUGGAUAUGAAAAC
rnacentral:lncRNA from 1 species